CAACAGCUAUUUGACUGUGCUUGGAAGAUCUCCGUUUAGUUAACCCUUCAGAUGAGACCGCAGCCCUGGCCAGCAAACAAAUUGCAGCCUAUGGAAAGACCUUAAGGCAGAAGCACCCAACUGAACCACCCGAGGGCUCUGACUUACAGAAACUGUGAGCAGACACUGAAGGAAUUAACCAGAAAGAAAAGAAGAGAAGAAGGAGAAGAAAGAAGAAGAAGAAGAAGGAGAAGGAGAAGGAGACGAGGGAAGAGGGAGAAGAGAGAGAAGAGGGAGGAAAAGAAGAAGAAGAAGAAGAAGAAGAAGAGGAAGAAGGGGAGGAAGGAGAAAGGAGGAAGGAGGAGGAGGAGAAGAAGAAGAGGAGGAGGAAGAAGAAAAUGUGAGUGCAUGAGAGUCUAACAUCUUGGCGUCUCUGUAAAAAUGGGUAAUUUGGCACCGUCCACCUUGUUGUGUUGUGACUUCUUAGAUAAAUACUCCCAUCUUGAUAUUUCAUUGGUGUCAAAGAGUGCAGGCUGUGGAGUUACACUUCGAGGGUUCAAAUCCCAGCUCUAUUUAGAAUUUGGACAACUUAUUAGACUUCUGUGCUUAGUUUUCCCAUAUGCCAAAUGGGGUACCCUUCAUAACUAUGAAUCAUUUAUUGUACAAGCUCCCAGAAUGGUGGGCAGGGCAUGAUAAAGUUGGUACGGACUCUAUAAAU
rnacentral:lncRNA from 10 species